CGCUCACUUAUCGCGGUGUUUCCUCCCUCUCCAGUCCCCCGGGGAGCUCUCGCGAGAGGAGCAAGGGGAAGAUGGCCGUGCCCUGUUUUUCGGUGUGAGGCCGUGGCUGUGACGGCGAGACCGGGAUUGUAGCGUCGUGGGCAGCUAGGCGGUAGCUCCCCCAGCGAGCGCGUGUCCCUUCGUACCUAGGCGAGAGCCAGCUCUUCUACCUCCGGGAGAUGCGUUUGUCCCGGGCUCGGAGGUUCUCUGGGAGUUCAUGCUGUGCUAGAGGCUCCCGGCCACCGCUCUAAUCGCCUUGUGCCGCCGCAACUCGAGCUCCGUCGCUGGCGGUGAGCCUCCCGGAUCCCCCCCUCGCCCCUUGCGGCGGCGAUGACCGGGGAGAAGAUCCGCUCACUGCGGAGGGACCACAAGCCCAGCAAAGAAGAGGGAGACCUGCUGGAGCCCGGGGAUGAGGAAGCGGCGGCUGCCCUCGGCGGCACCUUUACCGGAGGCAGGACUGGCACGGGCGGCGGCGGCAAGGGCGGCAAAGCCUGUCAUAAGAUCUUCAGUAACCAUCACCACCGGCUGCAGCUGAGGGCAGUUCCGGCCUCCUCCAAUCCCCCCGGCGCCCCGGCCCUGCCGCUGUACAAUUCCUCCGUGACUACCACCUCCCAGUCCCCAGCUCUUCUAGCCGGCACCAUCCCCAGUGCUGUCGUCGCGGAUGGAGGCACUUGCCCCGCACACUAUCCGGUGCACGAGUGCGUCUUCAAGGGGGAUGUGAGGAGACUGUCUUCUCUCAUCCGCACGCACAAUAUCGGGCAGAAAGAUAAUCAUGGUGAGGAGUGCUAGCCCCUCUCCACCUUCUUCCCUGAGCCUACGAUGUGCCUCCCCAGGCCUCUAGAAUCCUAGACUACCCCUCUUUCCUCUCCUUUGCCUG